GACACGACUCUCGGCAAUGGAUAUCUCGGCUCUCGCAUCGAUGAAGAGCGCAGCGAAAUGCGAUAUGUGGUGCGAAUUGCAGAAUCCCGCGAACCAUCGAGUCUUUGAACGCAAGUUGCGCCCGAGGCCAGCCGGCCAAGGGCACGUCCGCCUGGGCGUCAAGC
rnacentral:rRNA from 2 species